rnacentral:rRNA from 1 species
CGUUACCCGGGCCUUGUACACACCGCCCGUCACACCACGAAAGUCGGCAACACCCGAAGCCAGUGGCCCAACCGUAAGGAGGGGAGGCUGUCGAAGGGUGGGGGUCGGUGAUUGGGGUG